CUUUCUUCUUGGAAGGUGGUAAGAUAAUGGUGUUUCUAUUUUACAUUAGUCUUGUUAACGAAUCUCAAAGUAGGUGACAUAGUUGAUGUUUCUGUGGGUGCAGAUGGUAAAUAGCUUCUUUCCAGACUUUCCCACUACCUGUCUUCCAAAAGCUUUGUAAUACUUUUAUUGCUGUUUUCAAUAACAGGGAUGCGAAACCUGCCUUCUAAUACUUUCUAAUGAUUCUUGCUGAUGAAGUUCAUAACAGCUUUUCUAAAAGUAAAAUAAUGAAAUUAUUAUUCUUCUUUCUCUCUCUCUCUCGAAUGACCCCUUAUGAAAGGAAAGUAAGAAAAAGAUGAAGGGAACAGGCUAACCACAUAGAGGACUGACAAGUGGGAAACAUGUUAUCUUAUCAUCUUCUCACUUUGCACACCAUUCAUCUCCUGAGAGGGGGAGAGAAGAGUUUAAAAAUCCUAAACAGUCGAAUAGAAGUAAGAGCCCACCCUGAACGGAUAAGAAAAUCAGUCUCAGAGGAGACACUUCGGAAUCACAGGAAUUGCAACACACCAAGGCCAGACAAAGUGAUUCACUCUGAAGGAGAUAGGCUACAGAGGGGUAAGUAACUGCUUCAUGUUAAUGAGAAUGAGCCUUGCUAUUUAUUGAAGACUUACUAUGUGCAUGAUAAGAAUGCCCUUUACUGCAUUAUUGCAGGUAAUACUCACAACAAAAACACUACAUGGGAGGAACUAUGAUUAUUCCCAUUUCAGACUCGAGGAAUCUGAGUGACUGGUCAAAAGUCCCACAGGUAAUAAACAGUGUAGCUGAGACUUGACUCCAUCAUUCUGUCCAAUUCCAAAGUGCACACUCCUUACCCCAGACUUAUUGACAGUGUGGCUAUCCUGGGUUCAAAUCUCUACUAGCUGUUGACCUUGAAUAAACAACUUACUUAGAGGGUCAGCCUGGUCACCCACUUAACUACAGUACCUCUUCUCUCUGUUCUCCCUGGAAAAAUCACACUCUUGUUUCAAAGCAUAGCUCCUAGAGAAGCUGGUUUACUUGGAUCCCCCAUUUCCAUUGCCCCCACCCCAACACUGAUUCUUCUCCCCUCUUCCCACCGCUGGGCUUGUUUA
rnacentral:lncRNA from 1 species